rnacentral:rRNA from 1 species
AACGAACGCUGGCGGCAUGCCUAACACAUGCAAGUCGAACGAGACCUUCGGGUCUAGUGGCGCACGGGUGCGUAACGCGUGGGAAUCUGCCCUUGGGUUCGGAAUAACAGUUGGAAACGACUGCUAAUACCGGAUGAUGACGUAAGUCCAAAGAUUUAUCGCCCAAGGAUGAGCCCGCGUAGGAUUAGCUAGUUGGUGAGGUAAAGGCUCACCAAGGCGACGAUCCUUAGCUGGUCUGAGAGGAUGAUCAGCCACACUGGGACUGAGACACGGCCCAGACUCCUACGGGAGGCAGCAGUGGGGAAUAUUGGACAAUGGGCGAAAACCUGAUCCAGCAAUGCCGCGUGAGUGAUGAAGGCCUUAGGGUUGUAAAGCUCUUUUACCCGGGAUGAUAAUGACAGUACCGGGAGAAUAAGCGCCGGCUAACUCCGUG